CGCCGCCACUGCAUCCCCUAUCCACCCCGCCGCCCCAUCUCUGUCCAGGACGCCCCACCCAUGCCGUCCGCCAUCACCAUCGCCGCCGCAUCCGCAUCCGCAUCCGCAUCCCCAACCAGCGCCGCCGCCCGAUUCCCCAUCCACACCGCAGCUCCACCCGGUUCACCACCCACGCCGUCGCACCUGCACUGCAUCCUUCACACACUCCGCCGCCGCCACCAUCCCCGUCCACGACGCCUCACCCGCACCGUCUACUUACUCGCCCCCUACUUCCCCUCGCACAACAGCAGCAGCAGAGUGACGUCUCCACUCUUCUGCCAACUACCCGUACGUCCACUUGAAGCAACAGCAAUAACCACGGAGUAUGACAACAGGGGUGUUUGAGAUAUGUGCUCGGCCAGGGAAUCAUUCCAGAACGUACCAGUUAGAAGGAAUACAAAUACUACAAGGAAGUCCAGUGGCAUCACGGUUUCUAUUUAUUUUUAUGGCCUGUAUGAUGCUUCGGUUCAUAAAUAUAAAGAUCUUAUUAUGCUUGACUAUAUGCAUCUGCUUGCUGCAGGAUAUGGUAUUUAAAUAAAAAAUAGUAUAGGACGGGCUGUUGUUGGUGAAAACAUGGAUGUUUGGAAGAUAUGUGCCUAGCGGUAAAUACUUGUUUGUUUCAUUGUCAUAUCUAAUUAACAUAUUAAUGCUCAGCUGCUUGGCAUAUGUACUUCCGGUUAUAUUUUAGCAUGGCUGCAACAAGAACAACCUCGCUGAUUAAGUUGAUCAACAAGAACAAGCCUAACAUAUGACGCUGGCUGUUAUUCUUCUAAUCUUUAUCUUUCAUAUCCGUCCUUGUGUUGAUCAAUUCCUAUGUGCUAAUUAGUGUUAGUUCAAAUUCAUUACCUAGAGAUAUCAGGAAUCAUUCCAAUCAGGCCCUUUGUGGUGUUCUGUUGGGUGUAUGAAUUGAAGCUAAAGAGGAAGUUGCAGUUAAUGGUCCUCCAUCUUGCUGUGAUUUCAACAUUAUUUCUGUUUUAUUUUCACUCUCAUUUUUCUGCAGUAACGUUAGUCAUGAGACAAGUGGCACCAUUAAGUCAGAGGGAACUUGCUCUGCUUUGCAGUAACUUACAGAAUUCAUGUUUUACUGUCUUUGCAUUAAUCUAUGCAUGUCCUGAAUGUGCUUGGUUGUUAACUAUCUAGUUAAUUGAUGGGACGAAGAUAGUGGCAGGUACUGGGCUUGGUUCUCAAUGUUUUACCUGCUUUACCUGCCACUAUCUUUGCCGGCAGUUGAUUGCCCUAAUAUUUUUUCGUGGUGUAGUGCUAGGCCGCGUACACAACGUGCAGGAGUGCAAGGGGUGCAGGAGUGCAAGGGGCGAUGGCCAAAGACCCCUGAGCACUUAGGAUGUAGACCAGCAUGCUGGCCUCUCUGUUGAGUCUAGGUAGGACUACGGUGUGUCGACCAGUUGAGGCCGGGCAUGACUUGGAAAAGUGAGCCCGACCAAAGUUAAUCGAGCGUUUUGUGUAAGUUUGUGCACCCCUGUAGGGCAAUUUGUCUAUUCGAAUAUCCAUGUCGACGGUAACAGACGCUCUUAGUUGUAUCCUGGUCUAUUACAUCUAGAACUGGAUACCGGAGAUUCUAAAUGGAUAUGAUGGCUUUCCGGGAUUACUUUCUCGCAGGGAGUCGAGAAAGGAUCAUUGGGCGUUACUACAAUAUACUUGUUACCGCUAAUUUGCACUUUACUAAGAAAGAUGGUAGUCUUCGAUAGGCUAGACCUUCCCUUCUAUUCUGGCAUUUCUGCAGUUUAGCCCAAAGAUAUAGUCUCAUUCCUUUGAUACCGAUGCAUACUUAGUAUAGAUUUGAUGUAAGUUUUCCGAGUACUUUUGAUGAGUAUUCACGGUUGCUUUGCUACCUCUUUUCCCCUAUACCCGAUUGCUUUGAUCAGAUGACAGAGUCCAGGAGCCAGCUGAUCCUGCUGACGACUACGACUACCCCGACGGAGCCUACUACUACGUGGAGACCACCGAUGACCAGGUGUAGUUAGGAGGCUCCCAAGCAGGAGGCAUGCGCCUUUUCGGCCCAGAUGUUGUUGUUUUGCUAGCCUUUUAAAGGCAAACUUGUUUACUUAUAUCUGUACUCAGAUAUAGUCACUUUUGCUGACUCUUGUGUAUUUGAGUUUAUGUAUUCGAGCCCUCAAGGCGCUAGUCUUGUAAUAUAAAGCUUGUAUUAUUUUAUUUGUAUCUAGAGUUAUGUUGUGAUAUU